rnacentral:lncRNA from 1 species
GACUGGUCUUUAAUACUACAGUAGAUAGACUGUAUGUUUGACUGGUCUUUAAUACUACAGUAGAUAGACCGUAUGUUUGACUGGUCUUUAGUACUACAGUAGGUUGACUGUAUGUUUGACUGGUCUUUAAUACUACAGUAGAUAGACUGUAUGUUUGACUGGUCUUUAUUGCUACAGUAGGUAGACUGUAUGUUUUACUGGUCUUUAAUACUACAGUAGGUAGACUGUAUGUUUGACUGGUCUUUAAUACUACAGUAGGUAGACUGUAUGUUUGACUGAUCUUUAAUACUACAGUAGAUAGACUUUAUGUUUGACUGGUCUUUAAUACUACAGUAGGUAGACUGUAUGUUUGACUGGUCUUUAAUACUACAGUAGAUAGACCGUAUGUUUGACUGGUCUUUAGUACUACAGUAGGUUGACUGUAUGUUUGACUGGUCUUUAAUACUACAGUAGGUUGACUGUAUGUUUGACUGGUCUUUAAUACUACAGUAGAUAGACUGUAUGUUUGACUGGUCUUUAUUGCUACAGUAGGUAGACUGUAUGUUUGACUGGUCUUUAAUACUACAGUAGGUAGACUGUAUGUUUGACUGGUCUUUAAUACUACAGUAGGUAGACUGUAUGUUUGACUGAUCUUUAAUACUACAGUAGAUAGACUUUAUGUUUGACUGGUCUUUAAUACUACAGUAGGUAGACUGUAUGUUUGACUGGUCUUUAAUACUACAGUAGAUAGACUGUAUGUUUGACUGGUCUUUAAUACUACAGUAGAUAGACCGUAUGUUUGACUGGUCUUUAG